rnacentral:rRNA from 1 species
UACGUAGGCAGCGAGCGUUGUUCGGAGUUACUGGGCGUAAAGGGUGUGUAGGCGGUUGUUUAAGUUUGGUGUGAAAUCUCCCGGCUCAACUGGGAGGGUGCGCCGAAUACUGAAUGACUUCGAGUGCGGGAGAGGAAAGUGGAAUUCCUGGUGUAGCGGUGAAAUGCGUAGAUAUCAGGAGGAACACCGGUGGUGUAGACGGCUUUCCGGACCGUAACUGACGCUGAGACACGAAAGCGUGGGUAGCAAACAGG